rnacentral:rRNA from 1 species
UGGUGGAGUGAUUUGUCUGGUUAAUUCCGUUAACGAACGAGACCUCAGCCAGUCUAGUUAGAGGGUAACAUCCUUUCCGGAUGUUCACAAUCUUCCUAGAGGGACUAUCGGUUUACAACCGGUGGAAGUAUGAGGCAAUAACA